rnacentral:lncRNA from 1 species
UUCUAGUGAUAAAUUGUCAUUUUCUCAUGGAAACAUGUUUCACAGGAAAAUUUCUGAGUAACUCUUGGUAUGAUUUAUAAAACCCUCAGACCUGCCCACCCAGGAGAGCACUUGUGAAUUUAUGCCCCAGCUGAGAUGAAUGGAAGCCCCUGACCCACUCAGCCCUCACCGUUCCAUCUCCUACACCGCUGCUCCCAGCCCAGGCUGCCGACAUCCAUCAGCCGCCUUCUGGGCAUGGUGCGCAUUGGGAUGAGUGCUGGUGGAAGCUGGAGGGGUAGCGUGCUCUCCAAGGACUGUGGGAUUUGAACUGUGGUGUUUUUUCAAGGGGAGAUCAAGUGAAACGUGGGAGAACAGGCAGAGGAAUUGUAGUUUUGAAGUACUGGUGUGCAAGUCUGGUGGUGGUGGGUUUUUCAGUGUGAGUCAAGGCUGUUGUUGGAUUUAGAAGGUUGUAUGUGUAUAUAAUUCACAAAGGUACAUAAAAUCGCUUGUGUGGUGUAAUGCCUUACAGUGAAAAUGAUUUUUCCAUAGCAAAAAUGGUUUAAUGUGACCAGUGAGUAACACGUGUGCUUGUCUGUUGGAGCUGUAGGAGUCGGAGUCCCUCUGGCUCCAGGAGGGACUGAACGUGCAGGAAGCAGAUCUGUUGAGUGGCCACCCACGACCCGCUGAGGGAAGGCCAGCAGAGCUGGUCACUGCACCGAGGGCCCUGAAGCACAGCCACCCCUGGGGGACGGGGCAGGGAUUCUCCAGUAACCCUGUGCAGAAUGAUUUGAACCUAGCACAUGAACAGGCAUGGGAAAUUAUGGUGCUGCACAUGAUUGCAGAGCUGAGAUAAGUGUUGCUCUUUGUGGAAAAGCAUCAGAAGACCUUUAAUGGCUGUAGGCGGCUGGUGCUGGGGUUGAGAUCUGCACCAGGAGUUACCUCUAAUUACAGAGUGCCCCCUGCUGAGCUCCUGCUCGCCGCUAAGCAGAGCGGAGAGUGCCAUCUACUGCUCCGUACCUAUAAAAUAAAUUAUUCUCCACUUGCA